UAAUACAUGCAAGUAGAACGCAGAGGUCAGGUGCUUGCACUGGACUGAUGAGUUGCGAACGGGUGAGUAACGCGUAGGUAACCUACCUGAUAGCGGGGGAUAACUAUUGGAAACGAUAGCUAAUACCGCAUAAAAGCCAAUGACCCAUGUCAUUGGCUUGAAAGAAGCAAACGCUUCACUAUGAGAUGGACCUGCGUUGUAUUAGCUAGUUGGUAGGGUAAAGGCCUACCAAGGCGACGAUACAUAGCCGACCUGAGAGGGUGAACGGCCACACUGGGACUGAGACACGGCCCAGACUCCUACGGGAGGCAGCAGUAGGGAAUCUUCGGCAAUGGGGGGAACCCUGACCGAGCAACGCCGCGUGAGUGAAGAAGGUUUUCGGAUCGUAAAGCUCUGUUGUUAGAGAAGAACAGUGAUGGGAGUGGAAAGUCCAUCAUUUGACGGUAACUAACCAGAAAGGGACGGCUAACUACGUGCCAGCAGCCGCGGUAAUACGUAGGUCCCGAGCGUUGUCCGGAUUUAUUGGGCGUAAAGCGAGCGCAGGCGGUUUAAUAAGUCUGAAGUUAAAGGCAGUGGCUUAACCAUUGUAUGCUUUGGAAACUGUUAAACUUGAGUGCAGAAGGGGAGAGUGGAAUUCCAUGUGUAGCGGUGAAAUGCGUAGAUAUAUGGAGGAACACCGGUGGCGAAAGCGGCUCUCUGGUCUGUAACUGACGCUGAGGCUCGAAAGCGUGGGGAGCAAACAGGAUUAGAUACCCUGGUAGUCCACGCCGUAAACGCUGAGUGCUAGGUGUUAGGCCCUUUCCGGGGCUUAGUGCCGUA
rnacentral:rRNA from 1 species